CAGGAUUUUUAGUAUUAUGUUUACUUAUCCUUAUAUUUAUCAAAUAUAUAUUUUUGUGGGUUGAGAGAAAUACAAUUUAUUGUGGAAAUCCACAUCACUUUAUCCUGCAACUGGUCACCUCAAUCUUAGCUCCCUUGUCAAUCAUUUUUAUGAACUAUGUCAUUUGAUUCCUGGCAGUCGGCACAGACAAAGCAUUCAGGAAAAGGAGAAAUGAAACAGUGGGGGUCUUGCAUUAAGAGC